CCUACGGGACGCAGCAGUGGGGGAUAUUGCACAAUGGGGGGAACCCUGAUGCAGCGAAGCCGCGUGGGCGAAGAAGCGCCUCGGCGCGUAAAGCCCUGUCAGCAGGGAAGAAAAUGACGGUACCUGAAGAAGAAGCCCCGGCUAACUACGUGCCAGCAGCCGCGGUAAUACGUAGGGGGCAAGCGUUAUCCGGAUUUACUGGGUGUAAAGGGGGCGCAGACGGUCCUGCAAGUCUGGAGUGAAACGCAUGAGCUCAACUCAUGCAUGGCUUUGGAAACUGGAGGACUGGAGAGCAGGAGAGGGCG
rnacentral:rRNA from 1 species